UAUUUCUUACCCUUUUUCCUCCCUCCUCCCGUCUUCCCAGAGUCUCUCUAGGAUUUCCUCUGCCGCCGGAAAAUGGACGCCCUGGACUCCGUCGUCAAUCCGCUCAGGGAAUUCUCCAAGGACAGCAUUCGCCUUGUCAAGAGGUGCCAUAAGCCAAACAGGAAAGUUUCGUGUUCUCUCUCCCCCUUCCUCUCUGAAUCCCUUGAUGUGUUUGUUCUCCCUUUCCCUUCUUGUUGCUUCGUCUUGAAUUUUUUCUCAAUUUGGUUCAGAGUUCACGAAAGUCGCGUUCAGGACCGCGAUUGGGUUUGUAGUGAUGGGAUUCGUGGGAUUCUUCGUCAAGCUGAUAUUCAUUCCCAUCAACAACAUCAUCGUCGGAUCGGGUUAGGUAGGUGCGGCACGUGCACAGCACACCGCGGGCGGCCUACAGCCGAGAGACAACCCCCGUGGUGGCCCAGAACAGUAUGGAUCCAUCCAUCCGCUGCAGCGGUAGAGCACUCAUCCAUGGAUGUGUGAAUUCCACGAAGAGAUACUCAGCCCUCCCUAGGACACCCAGGUUGGGAAGGCGGGAGCCCACGCUCCAAGCACGUCACACAACAGUACCCUGGGCCUUGCACCGCCUGCGCUCUGAACAGGCGAGACCAAUGGCGAAGGCGGGACAACUCCCAAACACAUAGCUACAUCCCACUUGCCUCUCAUCUCUUAUUCUUUCAUUCUUACAAUUAUCCUUGCACAAACACAAUUAACUGGCUAGCUCAUGAGGUUGGUUCACUUCACGAGUGGACUCACACCUCCAAUUGCUUCCACACGAGCACUACACAUAACAACAACAGUUUUGGCUAGCUGUCUCAACAAUAUGGGUACAACUACCCUAUGUUCAAUCAUUUGCAUCAUUGCCUGUGGCAAUGUGUAUUCAACAAACACAACAUUCAUAUUCAUUAUCACCAUAAUCACAUCUUUGAAAAACUUAGUCAAACCACAGAGAGUAGUCUCGAUCUGUGAUGGGCCCGUAGCUGUCCUAUGCAGUUAUCAAUCUAGGAUGCUUUCUAAUGCACAAUUGGGGUCGAGGAGACACUCGACUCGAUACCCCACCUCAUAUGUCCUAAACAGUUAUCAAUUCUAGCAUGCACAUGCAAUUACGUAGUAAUUUUCAACCCCGCCUUCCUCACCGUCUCCUUCUCUUGUCUUCUGCUGGUUCGCACGGCAGAGAGCUACGGUCAGGCGGAAGCUGGUUGCAGCGGCGUUUGUUCGGCGGAGGAAGGACUGCGGCGGCGCUCUGCUUGGGGACGUUUUUCCCCUCAUGCCAGUGAAGUGAGGGCAUUAGUGGUGAAGGCAGCCAGCGAUUUUUGGCGGUGGCACUUGACUGAAAACUUGAGGAGGCUGUUGGAGGCGUCACAGCAGUUUGAACACUUAGAUUGGGGAACACCGGGCACGUCCCGUCGACCUUGAGCUACCGGAUUCGAGGCUUGAGGCAUUUUGAAGAGUUUGUGAGCGCGCCACAGGUUUGGUGGACCAGGGGCAGCAGGUUGAGUAGAUGGUUUCACUCACAUCCUACUGGAGAGGUUUUGGGAUGUGUCUUUUGUAGCGCCGGCGCGUCUUAUUUUGGUUUUAUUGAUGUCUUGUUUUUGUUAGGCAUCAAUUAUACAGUUUGGGGCAUUUUUGUCAUACAUAGAGGUGAUUUUGUAUGAAUUGAAAUGAUUACAUAAAUGAAAGUUCGCCCCAUUGUUUUGAA